rnacentral:rRNA from 1 species
GAUGAACGCUGGCGGCGUGCCUAAUACAUGCAAGUCGAGCGAACGGACGAGAAGCUUGCUUCUCUGAUGUUAGCGGCGGACGGGUGAGUAACACGUGGAUAACCUACCUAUAAGACUGGGAUAACUUCGGGAAACCGUAGCUAAUACCGGAUAAUAUUUUGAACCUCAUGGUUCAAAAGUGAAAGACGGUCUUGCUGUCACUUAUAGAUGGAUCCGCGCUGCAUUAGCUAGUUGGUAAGGUAACGGCUUACCAAGGCAACGAUGCAUAGCCGACCUGAGAGGGUGAUCGGCCACACUGGAACUGAGACAAGGUCCAGACUACUACGGGAGGAAGCAGUAGGGAAUCUUCCGCAAUGGGCGACAGCCUGACGGUGCAACGCCGCGUGAGGGAUGAAGGUCUUCGGAUCGUAAAAAUCUGUUAUUAGGGAAGAACAUAUGUGUAAGUAACUGUGCACAUCUUGACGGUACCUAAACAGAAAGCCACGGCUAACUACGUG